GGAGCUGAUAUCAGGCACGCCCAAAACAUCUAGCCUCGCCACACCCACAAGGGUACUCAGCAGUGAUUAACAUUAAGAAAUAAACGCCAGUUUGACUUAGUUAAAUGAAAAUGAGCCGGCCAAUCUGGUGCCAGCCGCCGCGGUUACACCACGUGGCUCAAAUUGAUUCGGCGUAAAGCGUGAUUAAAGUGGGGUCAAACUUAAAUUAAACCGUCAAACAAUUAUUCUUAAGAAGUUCUAUCUCGAAAGACACUCCAAUGCACCAACUUGAAUUCACGACAACUAGGAUACAAACUGGGAUUAGAUACCCCACUAUGCCUAAUCGUAAACUUUAACUUACAUCGCCAGAGAAUUACGAGCCAAAGCUUAAAACUCAAAGGACUUGACGGUGCCCCACAUCCCUCUAGAGGAGCCUGUCCUAUAAUCGAUAACCCUCGUUCAACCUCACCAUUUUUAGCAGCUUGUAUACUUCCGUCGUCAGCCUACCGCAUGAGCGAGUAGGCUUAAUGUCAAUACGUCAGGUCAAAGUGCAGCUUAUAAAGUGGUAAGAGAUGGGCUACACUUUCUAAAAUAGAAGAUACGAAAGAAUAUGUGAAACAGAAGGCGGAUUUAGUAGUAAGGGCGGACCAGAAUGCCCCCCUUAAUUUGGCACUGGGGCGUGUACACACCGCCCGUCACCCUCUUC
rnacentral:rRNA from 1 species